GACUAGUAUAAGAACAAAAUGUGUUAAUGGCUUGUUUCCUUUUUUGCUUUUGAAUUAGGAGCAGGACCAAAAAAGGAUAACUUCCAAGGCCCUGAGUACUUGGAGUUAUUGAUGACACAGUGAGAAGGCAUCCCAUAUGGUGUUUUCAACACCGUUUGACCUUAAACACUCGAAAGACCUGGGGUGGCAGUUGAGAGAAAAGGAGGAAGUUAAAGGAUGGUAUUUUAGGAGACUCACUCAUAUUUAUGCAUGGGUCUGGGUUCUGGAGAUGCUAAAUACCUAUCAAAAAGAGGUGGUGCAGUACACAACACUGACGGCCUGUUUGAAACCAGCAGCUCGUACAGUACUGGAUUGCAUACAUCCAACUUAUUCUUGGCAGCCCUAAUCCCCUGAUCACUUGGUGUCUGAUAGUGAGGCAUUGAUAGCCAUCAGGAUCCAACGGUAAGUCAGAAGAUAUUCACAAAAGGACAUUACCAAGUUGCUGAAAUAAUUACAAUCUGUGAAGAUGGCAUGAGUUUGCUCUGAAACCUUAGAGGCUUGGCUUUGUUUUGGCUCAGAAUUUGCCACAGAUGGCAUACAAACAUCUGUUCUUUACCACACUUUGAGCACCAUUGUAUCAGGCAUCUGGAUUCUUCAUCGCAAGGCAGAGAAACUAGCACUGGCUAAAUUAAGUAAAAAAUGAAUUCAUUUGAAAGAUAUUGAGUGACUCACACAAAAUUGAGGGGAAGAUAGGAGAAUCAGCCAUGUAAAACAGAUAGGUGAGGCAGCAGAUAAAGGUGAUACCGUAGUUGUAGGAACACACUGGUUACAAUGCCACUGUUCUCACUCCUGUUGCUGCACACUACUGGACAUUUGAUACUGUCAUUGGCACUGAAGGCCACCACUGUGAGUCAUUUUUAAAACUGCCUCAGCAUCUUAGGUACCUGCCCACAUACUCCAGGCUUUACUGCCUUGGUUUGCUCAGGCUGACCUCUAAUUACCAGUAUCUGCAUCUCUUUGCCUGAGAACUUUCUCUGAAUCUACAAAGGCUGCUCAAUUUGCAUGUGGCAGGUUGAAAGUAGUAGCAAGUUAAUAUCCCUCAGCCCUCAACCAAUGACUGAUAGGAGCCCAUCUAUAAAUACAUAAGCCUUCUCUCUCCUUAGGUGGAAUUACUCCAUUUUAUAUCAUUUGCUCAAGGAAAUUAGCUCUGGUCACCACUCCAGUGGCAGCUGGCUUGAUGGUACACCCAUCCUUGGCUGGCUCCCAUUCCUUUGUUUAUCUCCCCUCUCUCCUACUGGUGUUCUUGUAUUUUCCAAAUAAGCUAUUGGUUCUUGAAUCCUUGUCUCAGUCUGCUUCUGGGGGAACCCAACCUAGAUACCACUCACUCAAAAUUCAAAUCCCAGGUG
rnacentral:lncRNA from 1 species